GACUCAAUAAUUCCAACGUGCCCAAUUCCCAUUACUGGGGGAUCCAACAGCUUCACUGUCUCCUCUGAAAGAAAGCCGACGCUCUGCCAGAAACCUAACAACCCAUCUGAGGACCUCUUUCCAAUAAGCAAGAUUCCCAGCUCCUUGAGUCCUGUGAUUACGUGAAAAUCUCAGCACAUUUUUAAGAGGUACAGUGAAGGAGAGAGAGAACCAGCUUCCAUCUGACAACAAGGAGUGGUGUGUUUAUUCUUUCUGACCUUGAAGGGGAGGAAGGCAAUUUCAUGUGGACCAGGAAGAAUCAUUGAAGACGUGGCCACUCUGCUUCCUUUGUCUCAGUGCUCCAACUCCCUGAUGGGCCAAGCAGCAAGGGGAGAUCUCAGAAUCUGCAUGCCUGUUCUCCAUCUUGCAGCUAAUAUGUACCGAUAGCAGCAUAUAAAGACUUCCAAAGAUUUA